rnacentral:rRNA from 1 species
GUGACAGCCGCCGCGGUAAUACGGGGGGGGCAAGCGUUGUCCGGAAUUAUUGGGCGUAAAGGGCGCGUAGGUGGAAUGAUAAGUUGAGGGUGAAAGCCCGGAGCUUAACUCCGGGUCUGCCUUCAAGACUGUCAUUCUUGAGUAUGGAAGAGGGAAGUGGAAUUCCCGGUGUAGCGGUGAAAUGCGUAGAUAUCGGGAAGAACACCGGUAGCGGAGGCGGCUUCCUGGUCCAUUACUGACACUGAGGCGCGAAAGUGUGGGGAGCAAACAGGAUUAGAAACCCUCGUAGUCC